GCACUACUUUCAACUUCAACAGCUUCCACUCCAAGACAAGGCGCUGAGAUGCGCCGCGCCGUACCACAGAACUCCGACAGGGUGGAUAAGGAACAGCAGUGGAUGAGGAAUGAGGAAGCUCCCGCUGGAGUUAUCCAUCCUGGACUACGAUGUGGUUCACUUCCCUCCAUCCAUGGCUGCUGCUUUCUGCUUGGCUAUAAAACUCGCUAAUAGAGACACGUGAGCAGUAAAGAACAAAUACGCCAGGAGCGAAAGCUUCAGGACAGGCACCGUGAUGGAGCUGCACUCCCCGCUCAUCUGUGACCUCGCCCUGCCUCUGGUGGAUUCUUUCUCUGAAUUCCAGUAGCAAUGGGC
rnacentral:lncRNA from 1 species